rnacentral:rRNA from 1 species
AACGAACGCUGGCGGCAUGCCUAACACAUGCAAGUCGAACGAAGGCUUCGGCCUUAGUGGCGCACGGGUGCGUAACGCGUGGGAAUCUGCCCUUUGGUUCGGAAUAACAGCUGGAAACGGCUGCUAAUACCGGAUGAUGACGAAAGUCCAAAGAUUUAUCGCCAGAGGAUGAGCCCGCGUUGGAUUAGGUAGUUGGUGGGGUAAAGGCCUACCAAGCCGACGAUCCAUAGCUGGUCUGAGAGGAUGAUCAGCCACACUGGGACUGAGACACGGCCCAGACUCCUACGGGAGGCAGCAGUGGGGAAUAUUGGACAAUGGGCGCAAGCCUGAACCAGCAAUGCCGCGUGAGUGAUGAAGGCCCUAGGGUUGUAAAGCUCUUUUACCCGGGAAGAUAAUGACUGUACCGGGAGAAUAAGCCCCGGCUAACUCCGUG